rnacentral:tRNA from 1 species
AAGAUACUAGUAUAGCCAGUACACUGCCUUGUCGAGGCAGAGUCGCGGGUUAAACCCCCGCGUAUCUUG